UACAGAGGGUGCGAGCGUUAAUCGGAAUUACUGGGCGUAAAGCGUGCGCAGACGGUUGCGUAAGUCAGAUGUGAAAGCCCCGGGCUCAACCUGGGAAUUGCAUUUGAGACUGCGUAGCUAGGGUGCGGAAGAGGGAAGCGGAAUUUCCGGUGUAGCGGUGAAAUGCGUAGAGAUCGGAAGAACACCAGUGGCGAAGGCGGCUCACUGGCUCGUAACUGACGCUCAUGCACGACAGCGUGGGGAUCAAACAGG
rnacentral:rRNA from 1 species